rnacentral:rRNA from 1 species
UACGUAGGGUGCAAGCGUUGUCCGGAAUUAUUGGGCGUAAAGAGCUCGUAGGCGGUUUGUCGCGUCUGCUGUGAAAACUCGGGGCUCAACUCCGAGCUUGCAGUGGGUACGGGCAGACUAGAGUGCGGUAGGGGAGACUGGAAUUCCUGGUGUAGCGGUGGAAUGCGUAGAUAUCAGGAGGAACACCGGUGGCGAAGGCGGGUCUCUGGGCCGUAACUGACGCUGAGGAGCGAAAGCAUGGGGAGCGAACAGG